rnacentral:tRNA from 1 species
GGGAAGGUGGCUCAGUGGUAGAGUGCUUGCCUUGCAUGCAUGAGGCCCUGGGUUCGAUUCCUUAGCCUACAUA